rnacentral:rRNA from 1 species
UACGGGGGGAGCAAGCGUUGUUCGGAUUUACUGGGCGUAAAGGGCGCGUAGGCGGCCGCCGCAAGUCGAUUGUGAAAUCUCCGGGCUUAACUCGGAAAGGUCAACCGAUACUGCGGGGCUAGAGUGCAGAAGGGGCAACUGGAAUUCUCGGUGUAGCGGUGAAAUGCGUAGAUAUCGAGAGGAACACCUGCGGCGAAGGCGGGUUGCUGGGCUGACACUGACGCUGAUGUGCGAAAGCUAGGGGAGCGAACGGG